UACGUAGGGGGCAAGCGUUGUCCGGAUUUAUUGGGCGUAAAGAGCGUGUAGGCGGUUUGGUAGGUCCGCUGUGAAAACUCGAGGCUCAACCUCGAGACGCCGGUGGAAACCAUCCAGCUAGAGUCCGGAAGAGGAGAGUGGAAUUCCUGGUGUAGCGGUGAAAUGCGCAGAUAUCAGGAAGAACACCCGUGGCUAAGGCGGCUCUCUAGUACGGUACUGACGCUGAGACGCGAAAGCGUGGGGAGCGAACAGG
rnacentral:rRNA from 1 species